rnacentral:piRNA from 1 species
UGCAUGUUAAGUACCAGGCUUUGUGCGU